rnacentral:rRNA from 1 species
UACGUAGGGGUGCGAGCGUUGUCCGGAAUUACUGGGCGUAAAGAGCUCGUAGGUGGUUUGUCGCGUUGUUCGUGAAAACCGGGGGCUUAACCCUCGGCGUGCGGGCGAUACGGGCAGACUUGAGUACUGCAGGGGAGACUGGAAUUCCUGGUGUAGCGGUGGAAUGCGCAGAUAUCAGGAGGAACACCGGUGGCGAAGGCGGGUCUCUGGGCAGUAACUGACGCUGAGGAGCGAAAGCGUGGGGAGCGAACAGG